rnacentral:rRNA from 1 species
AUCUAUGGCUGUGCCACCCUGAACGUGCCCGAUCCCAUCUGAUCUCAGAAGCUAAGCAGGGUUGGGCCUGGUUAGUACUUGGAUGGGAAAUCACCUAGGAAAACCAGGUGCUGUAGGUG